rnacentral:tRNA from 1 species
CGCGGGUAGGCCAAGCGGUAAGGCCGAGGACUCAAUAUCCGCAGAAGCCGGUUCAACUCCGGCACCCGCUACCA